ensembl:lncRNA
GGACAUGAAACCGUUCACAGAUGUGUCUGCACAUGUAGGAAACACCAUCUACAGGCUGUAUUUUGGUCAUGGAGGUCACUGCCCUGCAGAAACUGGUUUACCUCAAAGCUUUGAUUAAAAACAACCUGUCAGGUCAUGACUGGUCCAUGACGUGCCACGAGACGAUACGCGACACUGACCCACUAUUAUCUCAUCAACGAGAUGUGUCGCAGCAGAUGGCCCCGCCCCUCCCUGAGCCUGGUUCUGCUGGUGGUUUCUUCCUGUUAAAAGGGAGUUUUUCCUUCCCACUGUCACUAAAGUGCUUGUUCAUAGGGAGUCAUAUGAUUGUUGGCUGUUUCUCUGUAUGUAUUAUUGUAGGGUCUAUCUUACAAUAAAAAGC